GACGAACGCUGGCGGCGUGCCUAAUACAUGCAAGUCGAACGCACUCUCGUUUAGAUUGAAGGAGUUUGCUCCUGAUUGAUAAACAUUUGAGUGAGUGGCGGACGGGUGAGUAACACGUGGGUAACCUGCCCUAAAGUGGGGGAUAACAUUUGGAAACAGAUGCUAAUACCGCAUAAAACCUAACACCGCAUGGUGUAGGGUUGAAAGAUGGUUUCGGCUAUCACUUUAGGAUGGACCCGCGGUGCAUUAGUUAGUUGGUGAGGUAAAGGCUCACCAAGACCGUGAUGCAUAGCCGACCUGAGAGGGUAAUCGGCCACACUGGGACUGAGACACGGCCAAGACUCCUACGGGAGGCAGCAGUAGGGAAUCUUCCACAAUGGACGAAAGUCUGAUGGAGCAACGCCGCGUGAGUGAAGAAGGUUUUCGGAUCGUAAAACUCUGUUGUUGGAGAAGAAUGUAUCUGAUAGUAACUGAUCAGGUAGUGACGGUAUCCAACCAGAAAGCCACGGCUAACUACGUG
rnacentral:rRNA from 1 species